rnacentral:rRNA from 1 species
AUUGAACGCUGGCGGCAGGCUUAACACAUGCAAGUCGAGCGGAGAUGAGGUGCUUGCACCUUAUCUUAGCGGCGGACGGGUGAGUAAUGCUUAGGAAUCUGCCUAUUAGUGGGGGACAACAUUCCGAAUGGCAUGCUAAUACCGCAUACGUCCUACGGGAGAAAGCAGGGGAACUUCGGACCUUGCGCUAAUAGAUGAGCCUAAGUCGGAUUAGCUAGUUGGUGGGGUAAAGGCCUACCAAGGCGACGAUCUGUAGCGGGUCUGAGAGGAUGAUCCGCCACACUGGGACUGAGACACGGCCCAGACUCCUACGGGAGGCAGCAGUGGGGAAUAUUGGACAAUGGGGGGAACCCUGAUCCAGCCAUGCCGCGUGUGUGAAGAAGGCCUUAUGGUUGUAAAGCACUUUAAGCGAGGAGGAGGCUACUGAGACUAAUACUCUUGGAUAGUGGACGUUACUCGCAGAAUAAGCACCGGCUAACUCUGUGCCAGCAGCCGCCGCCG